GGGCCUGUGGUCUAGUGGAUAUGGCGUCGGGCUUCGGACCCGAAGAACGUGGGUUCAAAUCCCAUCAGGCCCGC
rnacentral:tRNA from 6 species